rnacentral:rRNA from 1 species
AGUCUACGGGAGGCAGCAGGUGGGGAAUCUUGCACAAUGGGCGAAAGCCUGAUGCAGCGACGCCGCGUGCGGGACGAAGGCCUUCGGGUCGUAAACCGCUUUCAGCAGGGACGAGGCCGCGAGGUGACGGUACCUGCAGAAGAAGCCCCGGCUAACUACGUGCCAGCAGCCGCGGUAAUGACU